AUGAAGGGUUAUUUUGUUAUUAAAUCAAAAUCAAGUGAUCUUUAGGGCUUUUUGGUAUAACUAAUUAUAUGUAGGGAUGGUUAGGUUAAUUGAACAAAGAGAAGGAGCUGAUUAUGCUAAUGGUUUCUAACUGCUCGUACGCCCCAUCUUCAUUUUGAUCGGGCAAUUGGGAAGAACAACUGCAACAGGCGAACGAAAAGAGGGAAAAUGAAAACUCGCAUGCGGCAUUUUCGGGGGUCUUGGGUCGAUUGAUCGCAAAGGGAGCACAAAGUUUCGUCAAUCGACUCGCAAUCGGUUAUGGCGUGUGGGACUGCGAUGGUUACUCGGUCACGGGAAGGGAAAAGAUGGUGAUUCUCAAUGGCAGUCGGCAACUCUUUCCCCCGUAGUCGACUGUUGUGGCUCAAAGUGAAGUUACCAGAGUGGGUCUCGUCGUUACCGAUAGUAGCAACGAAAAUGGGUGGUGGUUUGCGAAUCUGAAGGUGGUGAAAGUGACGGGGGACAUUCGAUUUUCUGGCGUGCCUUCUCUCAACUGUUUCUAUGCUCGUCUCCAGUGGGAAGAAACAAUCGAAAAGGAAUCAGAGCAGCAACAGUAACCACCGGGGUGGGGUAUUUGGGUUUGAUUGUUGUUGGCUAUAAAGACGAUGGCAUCGUUUCUCGACCGAACGGUGAAAGGGGAAUGCGAGGGGUGGCUCGUUUGUGGUUGUUCCGGAUUGUUUGAUGGUUGAUUGGUUUGAGGAAGGAGAUGAGCGAAGCGGCAAGGCUGCUUGCGCAGUUUCCUAAUCCAUGGCUUCUUCUGCCUCAGAGGGAUAUGUAGUUUCUUGUUCUUCUUGAUUCUUAUUGGUUGUCUGUGAAUCAGAGAUAUAGAUCUUUAUCCUUGAACAUAGGUUAUGUAUUUGUGUUUGAGUGUGGGAUUGUGUUUAAGUUAUUAGUGUAAGAAGUCUUCAAAUCAUCCAACUA